rnacentral:rRNA from 1 species
UACGUAGGGUGCGAGCGUUAAUCGGAAUUACUGGGCGUAAAGUGUGCGCAGGCGGCAGAGCAAGUCGAGUGUGAAAGCCCCGGGCUUAACCUGGGAAUUGCGCUCGAAACUACUUUGCUGGAGUGUGGCAGAGGAAGGUGGAAUUCCACGUGUAGCGGUGAAAUGCGUAGAGAUGUGGAGGAACACCUAUGGCGAAGGCAGCUCUCUGGGACGGUACUGACGCUGAGACGCGCAAGCGUGGGGAGCGAACAGG